CCUAAUAUGAUGCAUGAACAGGACAUCGAUGCACGGGAAGGCACGACAAAACACCUCACACAUACACUACACAUUAAAUGAAGCUCGAUAUGCAACGGGUUGCAUAUCGACGAAACUCCACGUUUAAAUAUUUAAUUCACUCCCGUUAAUUAUCACGGCAAUAUUAAAUGUUGUUAACAUGGCAAGGGGUGAGCGAUGAACCUACAUG
rnacentral:lncRNA from 1 species